rnacentral:rRNA from 1 species
AUACGGAGGGUGCAAGCGUUAAUCGGAAUUACUGGGCGUAAAGCGCGCGUAGGCGGUUAUUUAAGUCAGAUGUGAAAUCCCUGGGCUCAACCUAGGAACUGCAUCUGAUACUGGGUAACUAGAGUUUUGGAGAGGUAAGUGGAAUUUCCGGUGUAGCGGUGAAAUGCAUAGAGAUCGGAAGGAACACCAGUGGCGAAGGCGACUUUCUGGCCAAAAACUGACGCUGAGGUGCGAAAGCGUGGGUAGCAAACGGGAUUAGAAACCCCGGUAGUCC